rnacentral:lncRNA from 10 species
CAUACACCAUGGCCCUUUUUCUAUAAAUACUUCAGUGUAUAUAUAAUAUUUCCAUGGAAUAAAAUAUUCUCCAAAUAACCAUAACACAGUUAUCAACUUUAGUAAAUUUAACAUUGGUCCAAUGUUUUUAUAUAUUGUCUAGAUACUUCUCAUUGGUGGUGUUAAUUUUUUGUGUCCAGUCAAGAUGUUGUACAAUCUCUAGAUGCUUACUGUGCUUUCUCUUGCAACUAAUAAGCUUUCCAUGGGUAGAUAUUUAAGACUAUACAAAUAUUCUCCUCCUCAUUAAAUUUCCCUCUAGAUUCAGCAUCCAUUAAUGAUUGUUACCUGAACCAAUCUUUACUAUAAUGCUUGCAAUAUGAUUAUUUUUCUAACUCCAGCAUUGUCAGUACGUUUAUCAGUCAGUGCGUGGCAUUCUGCUCACAUAAAUUUACUUUCGAUUGAUAUUUGACUAUGGGUGUAAUUCUAGGUUGAAAAUAAUUUUCUUUAGGAUUUUGAAGGAGAUCCUUCACUAUCUUUCAGCAUCCCAUGUUGCUAUUGAGAAGCCUGAUGCCAUUCUGAAUCCAAUUUCCUGAUGUGUAAUCUUUUCUUUAUCUUUGGUGUUCUGACAUCGUACAAUAAUGGAUUGGGAUUUUUUAAUUUUUUGCCCUUUUUUCCUGGAGUCCUUCUUCUCAGUUUUUCAUCCUCCUCCUCCUCCACCAAUUUGAACUGGUUGUUGCCUAAGACAGGCACACAAUUGUCUUCCUGUUCCUUCACUUUUCUAUGAAUAUUUGAUCCUCCAUUUCCUGGACACAAAGCUUUUCUCUUUUUUGGUUUAUUCCCUAAUUUUGCUAAACCACAUGUUCUAUAGUACUAUAUCUCAAGC